rnacentral:lncRNA from 1 species
GCUGCCCACCCUGCCUGUUCCCUGGCUUCCUCCAUCCUGUGCAGCCCAUAGACUGUGACCAUCUAUCUGGCCACUGUGGCCCUUCCUUUCCCUUUGUCCUGUUGGAAUCUCUGAGCAAGAUCUCCCAGGUCCAUCGAAACACCUGCUUUGUCCAGUUUUGACUGGGUCUUUGGGCACUACUGGGCCAUCCCAACUGUCCACAGGGCCCUCAAUAACGUGCAUUGCACCUGACAUCUCCCAGCAGUGCUCAGCAGCCCCUGCUGACCAGGUCCAGGUCCCUGCUGGCCAUAUCCCACACAUCAGGUCCUCCCUGACCACACUCUCACUGAUUAGAACCCCAUGACCAGGCCCCACUAACCAGGCCCUUGCUGCUAGGCCAACAGUGUCCAGGACCCCACUGACCAGGACCUUACUGACCAGGGCCUCACUGACCAGGUUCCACUGAUCAUGACCCCAUUGCCUGGCACCAUAGAUGAGGCCCCACUGACCAGGCCUCCAGGGAACAGGCUGCCACUGACCAGGCCCCUAUUAACCAGGCCAUAGGUGACAAGAUGCCCCUGACUGUGACCCUAGUGAGUAGGCCCCACUGAAUAGGCACCCACUGCUCAGAUCCCUGCUGACCAGGUCACCCCACAGACCACUGCUACAAGAGCCACCACUGAAUGCGCUCUCUCUGAACAGGCCGCCACUGAUUAGGUUCCACUGACCAGGCUGCGCUGACCAGGGCCCCACUGACAAGGGCCUCACUGAUGAGGACAUGGCCAGCAGGCCCUGCUGACUGGGUCCCAUGUGACCAGGCCUCCAAUGAAUAGCACCCCUUGAGCUGGUCACCAGUGACCCGGCCCAUGCUGACAAGGCCACCACUAAGCCCCAGCUGACCAGGUCUCCAUUGACAAAGUCCUGCAGCCUAGUUUUACACUGACCAGACACCAAACAAGUGGCUGCCACUAGGUCCCCACUCACCAAGACCCCACUACUAGAUCCCCCUAAUGAGACCCUCUCUAAGCAGACCCCUGCUGACCACACCCCCCAAUAAAUAGGCCUCACUGACCAAGUCCCAGCUGACUAGGUCCACUGAUGAGGCCCACACUGAUCAGGGCCCUCAUAACCAUACCAGAAGGACAAGCGACAAUGAGAUAUUUCAUAUGGCAGGAGUAGGAGCAAGACAGAGAGAGAAAGGAGGUGCCACAUCCUGUUAUACAACCAGAUCUCAUGAGAACUCACUAUCAGGAGAUCAGCAUCAAGAAGAUUAACCACUGGUGAAGGAAACACCACCCACACCACCACCCACUGUUUGCAGGCAGAAGCCUCCUGCAGAGGCAGAGCCUCUUGGGAAACUUCUACCAUGGCAGUGCAGAAGGGAAACAUGGGCUUGGAGCCCCGACACAGGAGGUCACCAUCCUCCAGACCCCAGAUUCAUAAGCCCACCAACAGUUCACAUCCUCAGUAUGGAAAAGCUACAGGCACUCCACACCAGCCUAGCCCAUGAGAGCAGACAUGGGGGCUGAAGCCUGCAAAGCUGCAGGUGCACUGCCCUAGCAGAGGUUUCCCAUGAGCCUCUGCCUCUGAAGCAGACUACUCCCCCUUCCUACUACCCACCACCCUCCCACCACCCUACUGCCAACCUACUUCCCACCCUACCCACCCCUUUUCCUUCCAACCCCAAACCCCUCCUGCCAUGAUUACAUCACCUCCCACCAGGCCCCACCUCCAACAUUAAGGAGUACAUUCCACAGGAGUUUUGGUAAAGAAACACAGCCAAACCAUAUUAUUCUGACCCUGGUACCCCAGAAUCUCAUGUCCUUCUCACAGAGCAAAAUACAUUCAUGCCUUGUCAAAAGUUUCCAAAAGUCUUAACUCAUUCCAGCAUUAACUCAAAUGUAAAAAGUUCAACAUCUCAUCUGAGACAAGUCUACAGUCCCUUGCACCUAUGAGUCCCUGAAUUUAAAAGGAUGUUCUUUUCUUUCAGGGUACAAUGAUGGUACAGGCAUUGGGUAAGCUUUCUCAAUUCAAAGGGAAGAAAUUUCCCAGGAAAAAACCACAAAUAGAACCACACACCCAAUGCAAGUCCAAAACCCAGGAGGCCAGUAUCCAUUCAAUCUCACAGCUCCAAAAUCACGAAGAGAACUCACUAGCAUAAGCACAGCAAUAAGGAGAUGGUGUUUAAUCAUUUGUGAAGGAUCCACCUCCCACCACCACUUUUCACCCCUCACCCCCACCAUAAUCCCCUCAUUCUCCCUACCCCCCACCUUCCAACCCACACUCUCCACCAUGAUUAAAUCACCCUCCACCAGGCCCCACCUUUAACUUUAUUAUUCUGUCCCUGGCUCCCAAAUCUCAUGUCCUUCUCACAUUGCAAAAUACAAUGAUGCCUUCCCUACAGUCCCCCCAAAUCUUGUAUCAUUCCAGCAUUUAUACAAAUGUCCAAAGCUUAAAGUCUCAUCUGACACAAGGCUAUACAGUCCCUUAGGCACAUAAGCCUCUGAACUAUAAAGCAAGUUAACUGCUGCCAAGCUACAAUGCUUGUGCAGGCAAUGGGUAAGCAUUCUCAACUGAAAGGAAAAAUUUUGCCAGAAAGAGCAAAACACAUAGAGGACUUACAGGCCCCAUGAAACUCCAAACCCAGAAGGCCAGUCAUUCAAUCCUACAGUUCCAAAAUCACCCUUUUUGAAACGUUGUCCCACAUCCAGGGCACAGGGACAUGAGGGCUGGGCUCUGAAGGCCUUGGGCAGCCCUGCACCUGUGGCUUUGCAGGGUUUAUGCCCCACAGCUGCCCCCAUGGACUGGGCGGGUGUUGAGUGCCUACAGCUUUUCCUGACUGAUGGUACAAGCUGUUGGUGGGUCUAUGAAUCUGGGGUCUGCAUGACGGUGGCCUCCAGUGUGGGGGCUCCAACCCCAUAUUUUCCUUCUGCACUGCCCUAGUAGAAGUUUCUUAUGAGGCUCUGCAUUUUUGGGAUGCUUUUGUCUGGUCACCCAGGCAUUUCCAUACAUCUUCCAAAGUCUACAAAAAGGCUCCCAAGCCUCUAGUCUCAUGAUCCAUCCACCUAGUGGCUUAACACUAUGAGGAAGUUACCAAGGCUUCUAGCUUGCACCCUCUGAAGCAGUGACCCAAGCUGCAUCUGUGCAUUUUCAGCCAUGGCUGGAGCUGGAGCUGCAGGGACGCAGGCAGCAGUGCCCUGAGGCUGCACAUAGAGCGGGGUCACAGGACUGGCCCAGGAAACCAUGCUUCUCUCCUAGGGCCCAGGGCCUGUGAUAGCAAGGGCUGCUGCAAAGGUCUCCGAAAUGCCGUCAAGGGCUUUUCCCUAUUGUCUUGGCUAUUAGCACUGGGCUCCUUUUCAUGCAAGUUUCUGAAGCCUUCCUGAAUUUUCCCCCUGAAAAUCAGCUUUUCUUUUUGACCACUUGGCCAGGCUGCAAAUUUUCCAAACUUUUGAGUCCUGUUUCUCAUUUAACAUAAGAGUUGGGACUCAUUUAAUAUAAGUCCCAUCCAGAGGUCAUUUUCUCAGUCACACAUCAGAGCACAGGCUGUUCAAUGCAGACAGGACACCUCUUGAGCUUUGCUUCCUAGAAGUUCAUUCCACCAGAUAUGCACUGCAUCAUCAACCUCAAGUUUAAAGUUUCACAGAUCUCCAGGGCAGGGUCACCAUGCAGCCAUGUUCUUUGCUACAGCAAAAUAAAAGUAACCUUGGCUUCUGUUCCCAGGAAGUUCCUCAUUUUUAUCUGAGACCUUCCAAGUCUGGUUUUCACUGGCCAUUUUCCUGUCAGCCUUCUGAUCACAAGUAGUUAACAAUUCUUUACAAAGAUCCAAACUUUUCUUCAUUUUCCUGUCUUCGAAGCCCUCCAAACUCUCCUGAUCUCUGUCUGCCACCCCCUUCUGAACCUGCUUCUACAUUAUCAGCUAUCUUUGUCACAGCCUGGCAAUGUGGUAAAGGAAGACAAGUCCAUUUUCAGGGAGAAAAUUCAAGAAGCCCUCAGAUACUUGAAUGAAAAGAAGCUGAGUACUGACUCCCAAGACAAUAGGGAAAAGGCCUUGAAGACAUUUCAUACAUCCACUUCCCAGUACUAAUUUUCUCUAUGAUCAUAAAGAACCUCAUGAUUCUGCAGGCUGUAAGGAAACAUACUGGCUUCUGAAUCUGGGAGGACUCAGGAAGCCUCCCAAUCAUACCAGAAUGUCAAGGGGCAAUGAGAUGAUUCACGUGGCAGGAGUAGGAGAAAGACAGAGAGAGGAAAGAGGUGCCAUGCCCUAUUAUACAAGCAGAUCUCAUGAGAACUCACAAGGUCAGCAUCAAAAAGAUGGUGUUUAACCAUUGGUGAAGGAUUUGCCCCCCACCCCCAACUCCCACUGUUUCCAGGCAGAAGCCUGAUGCAGAGGCAGAUCCUCUUGGAAAACCUCUACUAGGGAAAUGUGGAAGGAAAAUAUGGGCUUGGAGCCCCCACGCAGAUGGCCACCAACCUCCAGACCCCAGAUCCAUAGACCCACCAACAGCUCACAGCCUCAGUUUGAAAAAGGUAUGGGUAGUCAACACCAGCCCACCCCAUGAGAGCAGCCACAGGGGCUAAACCCUGUAAAGUCACAGGUGCACUGUCCUAGUAGAGGUUUUCCAUGAACCACUGCCUCUGCAGCAGGUUACUCCCCC